AGCGAACGCUGGCGGCAGGCCUAACACAUGCAAGUCGAACGGAUCCUUCGGGAUUAGUGGCGGACGGGUGAGUAACACGUGGGAACGUGCCCUUUGGUUCGGAACAACUCAGGGAAACUUGAGCUAAUACCGGAUGUGUCCUUCGGGGGAAAGAUUUAUCGCCAUUGGAGCGGCCCGCGUCUGAUUAGCUAGUUGGUGGGGUAAAGGCCCACCAAGGCGACGAACAGUAGCUGGUCUGAGAGGAUGAUCAGCCACAUUGGGACUGAGACACGGCCCAAACUCCUACGGGAGGCAGCAGUGGGGAAUCUUGCGCAAUGGGCGAAAGCCUGACGCAGCCAUGCCGCGUGAAUGAUGAAGGUCUUAGGAGUGUAAAAUUCUUUCACCGGGGACGAUAAUGACGGUACCCGGAGAAGAAGCCCCGGCUAACUUCGUGCCAGCCGCCGCGGUAA
rnacentral:rRNA from 1 species